rnacentral:rRNA from 1 species
AACGAACGUUAGCGGCGCGCCUAACACAUGCAAGUCGUGCGAGAAAGGGCUUCGGCCCCGGUAAAGCGGCGCACGGGUGAGUAACACGUAGGUAACCUACCCCUUGGUGGUGGAUAACCUUCCGAAAGGAGGGCUAAUACAGCAUGAGACCACGAUGUCGUAAGACGUUGAGGUCAAAUCGGGCCUCUAUAUAUAAGCUCGAGCCGAGGAUGGGCCUGCGGCCCAUCAGCUAGUUGGUAGGGUAAUGGCCUACCAAGGCAAAGACGGGUAGCUGGUCUGAGAGGAUGAUCAGCCACACUGGAACUGAGACACGGUCCAGACUCCUACGGGAGGCAGCAGUGGGGAAUCUUGCGCAAUGGGGGAAACCCUGACGCAGCGACGCCGCGUGAGUGAUGAAGGCCUUCGGGUUGUAAAGCUCUGUGGAGAGGGACGAAUAAGUGUGGUCGAAUAGGCCGCAUGAUGACGGUACCUCUUUAGCAAGCACCGGCUAACUCUGUGCCAGCCGCCGCCGUAACAC